rnacentral:lncRNA from 1 species
UAUUCGUUUGAUUAAUUAACAUAUUAAUUAAUUCUUGCCAUAAACAAUUAAACCAUUUAAUUGUCCUUACUAAUCUCCGUUGUUUCUUCAAUCUCAACCUUUACGGUGUACAAUCCAUUAGGUUCCCUUUAGCGAGGCAGUGGGCGAUUAGAACUCUUUCAAAUUGAUUGUGAAUUGAAACUUACGUUCAAUUCUCCCUUUAGUGAUUAUACACGUUUAGGGCUCCACAAACCAUGAGUGACGCCUAGCAGUAUGUCAUGAUUACCCAAGCUAAUCAGAAGAGGUGGAGAACUUAUUUAGUUUAGGAUUACAAUGCAAUUCGGUCUUUCUCUAAUACAAUACUCUUGACCACAUUGUUUGGUUUGAUAGUUUAUUCAUGUCUACUAUCCAAUGUGAUUCUCUUACUUAUAUGAUUACCUUGAAUGUGAUUUGGAACGACUUCCAAAAUCUUAUUCAUACUCUGGCCAGAGAUUCUUAAUCAUAUCAUAGAGUAUUCUCCCUCAAACAGUUUCAAGGUUAGAGAUCCCUUGUUGCGCAUUCACUUGCCUCCAUGGCUAAGUGGCUUCACCCCAACUAUGUCAUGGACUCCCUCUGACGGAAUGACUUUGACAUAGUCAAAGAUCAAGGACCUAACCACAAGACAACUAUGAUGCCUUAGGUCAAAGGACUACUAUGCAUUAUCCCAACCAUGAGUUCUCAUGUGACAUGAGUAUGAGAACUCCUUGUUGAUCGUGUUCAGUGGACUCAUUCUCUAUUGAGCACCUACAUGCUUGUCUUGGUGUCAGUCACACCAAUGACUCGAGACCAGUCACUCUCCCUAAGAGAAGAUAUAACGCGUACUGAUCUUAACGGACUGUCAGUGCCCAAUUCGCAAUCCGAUGAUCAUGAACGUUUAGGAUAUGUAUACGGAAGAGAAUGGUCUCAUGAAUCUAACUUCUUUAGAUCGCAUUCUCCCAAUUACAUAUUCCUUGGACUUAUCGUUUAAGCGUAUAACAUUUAUAUGAGAUGGCUUCAAACAAUAAUCUUUGCCCUUAAAUUAAACUAUAUUAGUUUAACAUGUGAAAUGUCCGUAAAGUAUCAUCAUAUGAUUGGUUUAGGGCACAUUUCCAACAAUCUCCCACUUGCACUAGAGCCAAUCAGCUUGGUCAUCAAUGAUGAUACCUCUUCUGUAGUCAUUUCAAAAAUGGCUGAGUAGUAGGCCUAGACAAUGGAUAUCUAUAUGUUAUCCAUAGAAGCAACCUUGAGAAUAAUGAUGUCACCAUUAUACAUGAUUCUAAAUCAUGUGGUUUAGUCUCUCAUUUAAGUUCGAAUCUUGAUGAGACCUUGAUUCCCUGGCUUGAGCUAUCACCCCAUUAGUGUCAUAGUGUCGGUACACUAGAGACACUUUCUGGUUGAAACUGAAUAGAGAGUUCAUAAAUGAACUUUCCCAUCCAAACAACAUUGUUGUAAGCUUCUAUAUGACAAUAUAUUUUGCAUUCACAAUGGAACACACUAAAGUCAUUACUUUUAAUGUUUCCAUCCAAAUAUCUCUUUAGUCAUAAUAAAAGGAUAUCUGAUUAUCUCUUCAUUCAUAAUGAAGAAACAUCCAAUGAUAGAUUAGAUUCAUAAUCUAAUACAUUUACGCUUCCAUUACGUUACUCUAAUUCUUCCUCAUUCUUUGAGGAAUAUAUCCUUUAGUAUUUCUUAAAUACUUAAGGACUCGCUUGACAGUUGCCAUGGUUCUGAUCCUGGGCUUGCAUUGAUAUCGUCUUGUAGGGAUCUUCGUACAACUCAUAACAAUGUUUUUCAUACAAUAUGAAAUACGUAAAUCACCUUUCUGCGUAUGCAUAAAGGAUUCUAUUUAUGCAUUAUGUUUCUUUAGGAGUCAAAAGGGUACGUUCCCUUUGAGAAGAGCAACUUCCUAGUCUCACUAGAGUUGUCCUUCUGAUUAAAGUUUAUCAUCAUAUGAGAAACUUCCUAGCAUCUUUUGUCUAUCAUUAGGGCUUGAUAUAAUCCAAUUUUAUCCUGAAAUCUAUCAUUAUAGAUUUCCAUCCCAUGUUUAUAGACUAUGUCUCCCAUAUACAUUCUAUCGUUAUAGAAUGUUUAAAGUCAUAACUUUAACGAAGAAGUAUUCUUUUCAUUUCCAAAAUUAAUAUAUCAUAUAUGUACAUAUAUAUAUAUAUAUAUAUAUAUUCAAAUUUAGGAACAUGAUUAACUCCCACUAAUCUUUUGUAAACAUAGUAAACAAAAUAUUCAUUUACAUCUUUAUGAGAAAUCAAACAAUUUGAUCUUUCUCUCAUAAGAUACUUAUAGCUCCCACUAGCUUGCUAAGAUUCAUUAUGGAUGGAUCUGUUGGAAAUGUGCCCUAAAACCAAUCAUAUGAUGAUACUUUACGGACAUUUCACAUGUUAAACUAAUAUAGUUUAAUUUAAAGGGCAAAGAUUAUUGUUUGAAGCCAUCUUAUAUAAAUGUUAUACGCUUAAACGAUAAGUCCAAGGAAUAUGUAAUUGGGAGAAUGCGAUCUAAAGAAGUUAGAUUCAUGAGACCAUUCUCUUCCAUAUACAUAUCCUAAACGUUCCUGAUCAUAGGAUUGCAAAUUGCGCGUUGAUAGUUUGUUAAGAUCAGUACAUGUUAUGUCUUCUCUUACGGAGAGUGACUGGUCUCGAGUCAUUGGUGUGACUAACACCAAGACAAGCAUGUAGGUGCUCAAUAGAGAAUGAGUCCACUAAACACGAUCAACAAGGAGUUCUCAUACUCAUGUCACAUGAAAACUCAUGGUUGGGAUAAUGCAAAGUAGUCCUUCGACCUGAGGCAUCAUAGUUGUCUUGUGGUUAGGUCCUUGAUCUUUGACUAUGUCAAAGUCACUCCAUCAGAGGGUGUCCACGACAUAGUUGGGGUUAAGCCACUUAGCCAUGAAGGCAAGUGAAUGCG